AAACAUACGUCAGGCCUCAAUACCAUCCCAUUCUCACUGAUUACUGCAGAGUGCUUACUGGCAUUCAACAAUUUCAGGUUAAUUGCGUAUAGACCCGCUGUAGCAUUGUGUUGUGACAUUUAUAACCCCUUAACAAAGAUGAGAGGUAACGAAUGCCAGAGUGUGACGCUACAAAGGGUCUACGUUCGAUCAACCACAUUGUCGAUGCAGUCUCCUGAAUAACCGAACAAUUUGUGGACGGUGGUCGUAGUCUGUUUGAAGCGCUACUCAUGCACGAUAAAUGGUUGGAAUCAAAAGGAGUUGAGCAGAGUAAGUUUGCUGUGGU